AGCAGCCGAGGCGCUGCCAGCCUCUGCGCCUCCACAGCCACGUGACCGUGACUCAACAGGCGCCGCCUCCCGGGUCCCAGGCGGGGUAGUGCAAGGCCGCAGAGGGAAACUGGAGAGAAGGCUAGAGGUGCGGGGAUGGGCGUUUAUCUAGGCCCCACCAACCCCCCCUCCUCCGUCCAGUUCGGCCAACUGGGAGGCUGCCAAGUGCGCGCCAGCAGGGCUCGCCUGGGACGCGCCCAGCUCGCGUCUGCGACGUGGAAAACCUAGAGAGCCCUAAACAUCAGGGCUAAUCUGGGGUUCUUUGAGGAAAGCCGCAGGGAGCUUCGAGGCCCCGGGGAGUUUUCGCGGACUCGCCUGGCCGCGUGGGGGCAUGCAUUGCGGAGGACUGCAGCCUGGAAAGUGAUCACGCCCUUUUGGCAGCUGUCGAUGCUUGUGUACGUGGCUCCUGCCGUGGGGAACUGUGGCUGUGACAGCCUGCACAGGAGGGAGGGACGAAAGGGUGAGGCCUUGACCCAUCCCCUAUGCCUGGGGAGUCCUGGAGGCACUGGUGUUUUUCAGAUGAAAUUCCCGGACUCACCAGGAAAUUCUCGAGGCUUUCGGUGACUGUGGGAUUUGUCGAGCAGCAGGUUCCAGAUGGUCCCCCGUUAAGACUUUUGGAAAUCGAAAUUGGCAUACCAAAAAUUUCCUCUGAUCCUGCUACUGCAUUGAAUAGACGUUACCGAGACACCCCGCCCCACCUCUUCUCUUGUUUUGACACAGUCUGAAGUGGUGAGGAAGAAGCAAGGACUUUGGAAUCUGGAAAGAUCUGGAUCUGAAUCUUCACCCUAAUAUUCACUGCUUGUUAUUACACUUUCUUUAGGCAAUAACUUCUCUGAUCUUCAGCCUCCUUACUUGCAAGUUUGGGAUUUUAUGGCCCGCUCUGCAAGAUUGCUGUAGGGAUCAUUUGAAACAGAACAUGCAAAGUAUACAAGUAUGCGUAAACUGUGCUUUGAGUUUAUGGUCAGCAGUUGAUGAAGACAGAUAACUGUCAUGGAGAUAACUGUCAAGCAGAGAUAACUGCUCUACAUUAUUGCACU
ensembl:lncRNA